AUUGUAGGCGUCAUCUCACGUGUCGGGGUGAUCUCCAACUUUUAGGCUCCAGAGAUCCUCCCGCAUCGGCCUCCCGGAGUGCUGUGAUGACACGCGUGGGCACGACGGAGUUUCACUCUUGUCGCCCAGGGUGGAGGACGAUGGCGGAUCUCGGCUCACCGCACCCUCCGCCUCCCAGGUUCAAGGGAUUCUCCUGCCUCAGCCUUCCCGAGUAGCUGCGAUGACAGCGAUGAGCCAUCGUGCCUGGCUAAUUUUUCUAUUCCUAGUACAGAUGGGGUUUCUCCAUCUUGGUUAGGCUGGUCUUCAACUUCCGACCGUUGGAGGAUCUUAACUUCCUUGGUGGUGGUUGCUUUUCUUUUUCUUUUUUUCUUUUCUUUUCUUUCCUUCUCCUUCCCCCCCCCCAACCCCCCUUGUCGUCGUCGUCGUCCUCCUCCUCCUCCUCCUCCUCCUCCUCCUCCUCCUCCUCUUUCAUUUCUUUCAGCUGGGCUCUCCUACUUGUGUUGCUCUGUUGCUCACGCUGGUCUCAAACUCCUGGCCUUGACACUUCUCGCGUCACAUCCGCCGUCUGCUUGUUGAAAUGAGCAUCUCUCGUAAAAUGGAAAAGAUGAAAGAGAUAAACACGAAGACGGAAA